GGAAAUACAGCGGUUUAGAGGGUCAAUAAAGCAACCAGUUUAUUCAUUAUUGUUUCAAUCAUGGUGAGGAUUCAAACCUCAAUUGGACAUAAGGGCAAAAAGGAAAAUUACAAAUACAUAAAUAAAACGAAAACAAGCUGAAGAAAUAACCUAUCUGACACUUUUGCAGCUCAGAGACAUCCAACUCUCCUUGAAGAUAAGUUUAAUCAAAGUUGCAGAGAGAAAGUAUGGCACUUCUUACUUGGGAAGUCCAGUUUCUGGGUCAAGAAGAGCCAGUUUGUCAUUUGAAAGCAGAAUAGGGCCUUUCCCAGGUCUUGUA
rnacentral:lncRNA from 1 species